UACGUAGGGUGCAAGCGUUAAUCGGAAUUACUGGGCGUAAAGCGUGCGCAGGCGGUUAUGUAAGACAGUUGUGAAAUCCCCGGGCUCAACCUGGGAACUGCGUCUGUGACUGCAUAGCUAGAGUACGGUAGAGGGGGAUGGAAUUCCGCGUGUAGCAGUGAAAUGCGUAGAUAUGCGGAGGAACACCGAUGGCGAAGGCAAUCCCCUGGACCUGUACUGACGCUCAUGCACGAAAGCGUGGGGAGCAAACAGG
rnacentral:rRNA from 1 species